GACGAACGCUGGCGGCGUGCUUAACACAUGCAAGUCGAACGGCAAGGCACUGCUUUCGUGGGGUGCUCGAGUGGCGAACGGGUGCGUAACACGUGAGUAACCUGCCCUUGACUUUGGGAUAACUUCAGGAAACUGGGGCUACUACCGGAUAGGAGCUCCUGCUGCAUGGUGGGGGUUGGAAAGUUUCGGCGGUUGGGGAUGGAUUCGCGGCUUAUCAGCUUGCUGGUGGGGUAGUGGCUUACCCAGGCUUUGACGGGUAGCCGGCCUGAGAGGGUGACCGGCGACAUUGGGACUGAGAUACGGCCCAGACUCCUACGGGAGGCAGCAGUGGGGAAUAUUGCACAAUGGGCGGAAGCCUGAUGCAGCAACGCCGCGGGCGGGAUGACGGCCUUCGGGUUGUGAACCGCUGUCGCCUGUGACGAAGCGGGAGUGACGGUAAUGGGUAAAGAAGCACCGGCUAACUACGUG
rnacentral:rRNA from 1 species